rnacentral:lncRNA from 1 species
GAAUGUGGCUGGGAGAGACGCUCACCUGCGGCAUACGUGGAUCCUUCCUCGUAGCCCGGGGCUGGUUGGCUCGCUCCUUUGAGAGACAGCCCCUUGCUGGGAGACUGAGGCAGGAGGCCAUUCACGAGUUCGAAGCCAGUUCGGAUCACAUAGUAAAUUCCAGGCUAGCCUAGGCUACAGAGUCAGACUCGGUCUCCAAACCAAAAAUUAAGCAAACCAACAAUACACCCGACUUCUUUUUGAGACCGUUUUGGCUGCUCUGGAAUAGGUUAUGUAGACUUCUGCCUACCGUGGGCUGGAUUAAAGAAAGCUGGAGACUGGAUUCCUCACAGAGUGGCUUACAAUGGAUACUUCAGGACUUGUGGGAUCCCACGUGGGGUUUAAUCACAGAGACACAGAGACAGCUGUAUAGUAUAAGGCUGUUGGCCUGUUUGCUGGGGCAGUCCCUCAGCUAACCCUCCAGACUCAAUACGACUUCUCUGCUACUGAGCCCAUGGCAUUCUCUCUGCCCUGCUCCGGUUCUGAGUUCUGCCCCCCCCCUCCCUUCCUCCUGCCCCAUUCCAACUUCCAACCCUAUUCCUCAAAGGCCACAUGCCUUACUCAUCCAAUCUGAGCCAGUCAGCAGCAGGACAAGGCUCAGUCCAUAUCUCUGUGUUGUAUUUUGGCAUUGGCAGCUUUGUGAACUUCACCCGGCAGCUUUCUUUUUAACAAGUCAAUCUCAGAGAAACACCUUUUUGGCAGGUAAGGAAAGACAAACAUUUACAUAUAGAAAGCAGGAGGAACAACAGUAUGAACCAACCAGUACCCCCAGAGCUCCCAGGGACUAAACCACCAACCAAAGAGCACACACGGAGGGACCAUGGCUCCAGCUGCAUAUUUAGCAGAGGACGGCCUUGUUGGGCAUCAGUGAGAGGAGAGGCCCUUGGUCCUGAGAAGGCUCAAUGCACCAGUGUAGGGGAAUAUCAGGACAGAAGGAGUGGGUGGGCUGGUGAGCAGCGGGGGAGGGGAUGAUGGGAUGGGGGUUCUCGGAGGGGAAACAAGGAAAGGGGAUAACAUUUGAAAUGUAAAUAAAGAGGGGGCUGGAGAGAUGGCUCCAUGGGGGCUGGAGAGAUGGUUGAGAGUCUGAUUGCUCUUCCGAAGGUCCUGAGUUCAAUUCCCAGCAACCACAUGGUGGCUCAUGACCAUCUGUGAUGAGAUCUGAUGCCCUUUUCUGGUGUGUCUGAGGACAGUGUAACUGU